AUCGCUUCUCGGCCUUUUGGCUAAGAUCAAGUGCAGUAGGAAGAAGGAUCCAGUGUGGAGUCAUAAAUAUAUAAAUUUUAUUAUUUAUCAAUACAUUAAUUUAU
ensembl:snRNA U2 U2 spliceosomal RNA